rnacentral:rRNA from 1 species
GAUGAACGCUGGCGGCGUGCCUAAUGCAUGCAAGUCGAGCGAACAGACGAGGAGCUUGCUCCUCUGACGUUAGCGGCGGACGGGUGAGUAACACGUGGAUAACCUACCUAUAAGACUGGGAUAACUUCGGGAAACCGGAGCUAAUACCGGAUAAUAUAUUGAACCGCAUGGUUCAAUAGUGAAAGACGGUUUUGCUGUCACUUAUAGAUGGAUCCGCGCCGCAUUAGCUAGUUGGUAAGGUAACGGCUUACCAAGGCAACGAUGCGUAGCCGACCUGAGAGGGUGAUAGGCCACACUGGAACUGAGACACGGUCCAGACUCCUACGGGAGGCAGCAGUAGGGAAUCUUCCGCAAUGGGCGAAAGCCUGACGGAGCAACGCCGCGUGAGUGAUGAAGGUCUUCGGAUCGUAAAACUCUGUUAUUAGGGAAGAACAAAUGUGUAAGUAACUAUGCACGUCUUGACGGUACCUAAUCAGAAAGCCACGGCUAACUACGUG